rnacentral:rRNA from 1 species
GUGGGGAAUAUUGGACAAUGGGGGGAACCCUGAUCCAGCCAUGCCGCGUGUGUGAAGAAGGCCUUUUGGUUGUAAAGCACUUUAAGCGAGGAGGAGGCUACCGAGAUUAAUACUCUUGGAUAGUGGACGUUACUCGCAGAAUAAGCACCGGCUAACUCUGUGCCAGCAGCCGCGGUAAUACAGAGGGUGCAAGCGUUAAUCGGAUUUACUGGGCAUAAAGCGCGCGUAGGUGGCCAAUUAAGUCAAAUGUGAAAUCCCCGAGCUUAACUUGGGAAUUGCAUUCGAUACUGGUUGGCUAGAGUAUGGGAGAGGAUGGUAGAAUUCCAGGUGUAGCGGUGAAAUGCGUAGAGAUCUGGAGGAAUACCGAUGGCGAAGGCAGCCAUCUGGCCUAAUACUGACACUGAGGUGCGAAAGCAUGGGGAGCAAACAGGAUUAGAAACCCCGGUAGUCC